UGUCAUGCCAUUGUCCGUUCAUUUUUGCCAGACUCAUGCGUUUGACUUUCCAUCUUUAUUUUUCACUUAGUCUAUAAUUCGAGAGCCUUUUAUAAAAAAAAUAUUACACACCAGAAGACUUUGUUAAAAGAUAAAGUUUGAAUAUUAUAGCAGAAAAAGGCCAGUGUACCUGAAGUACAUUUGAAGACCAGGUUAUAUAUAUUACAUGAAUACAGCAUAAUAAAGCUGGUUUAAUUUGAAUUACUAUCCAUUAGGGACAUUUUCUGACGAUAAUUAAUCAAAUCUGACAAGUUUGAUUAAAAACGGAAAAUAAGCCCGUAAACGAUUUAACGUUACCGUACCCUCUUUACUUGUCGCAUGUCGGCAUCUUCAAAUGGCAAAUUUAUUUUACACAAAUUCGUUGACAUGAUGGUAGAUGGACACUACAGCACAAUAUAAGCUGAGCUGGAAAUUACAAUUGAUAAGAUAUCACAUUGGUUUGAGCAUGAUUCCCAGCAAGAUUAUGAAGGGGCAUAUAUAUCAUAUAUACAUAGGAAAUAUAUAGUGUCACUAAAUUACUCUCAUACGGUACCUCACCUCUGUAGCUGUAAAUUGCGAAACGGUGGAUUCAUUCAUAAUUUUGAGUUACUUAUUGCAAUUGGAAAUAACGUUGAUAAAGCUAACAGCAUUAUGCCAUGAUGUUGAUGGGAUGUUCUGAUUGGACAAAAAGGAAAUUGUGAAUUGAACAAAUAGCAAACUUGAAAUUCAUAGGAAAAAAAGUAGGAAAUUGGAAUAAUGAAAAUUCAUAGUUUCAGUGAUUAUCUUACAAUCAUCAUGAUCAUUGUCAAUACUACAAGUGCAUCAUCAUGAUCAUAUAUAUCUGAAUUCACCUUGGAUAAUGAUACAUUUAAAAUAAGAAUUUGGAUAUAUAUAAUAAGAAUUUCUGUGCUGGCGUAGCUACUGUUGGCUUCAUGUACCACCAGCUGGGAGUGUUAAACCUUUUUGACCUUUCGUGAGGGUCUGUCACGGUCCGUCACAAUUGGUUAGUGUCAUAUAUGCAUGAUUAUGGAAGUUUCACCAACCUAGACAAGCUUUACAGCCCUGGCACGGUUGUUGGUUGCACUUAGAGUCAAAUGACAGCUUGCUGUAUACAUUUGUAGUUCAAAUAGUCUGAAUGAAUCUACAUGUAUGGUGACAAUCUUCUAAAUUACUGUUCAUUCUGAAACUGGCAUUUUAUACUAGUACAUGUAGUAGUCGAACAUAUUAAACAAUACAUGUACUUCAAA